CAAUUUAUCACUUGUAAUGAUAAUAUCUUUUCUUUUGUAGUGGUGGAUGUGAUUAUAAUAAUCAACGUUAAGGGUCUUUCGAAGUUGUGCUCUUGGAGGGAUUGGGUGGCCUCUGGCAGUUUUGACGAAGAUCAACCCGCCUGUCUCUGUUCUUCAUCUGUAUGAUGUCGAGAAUACUGCCGGUGUCACCGCGGAUAUUAGCCCCAUGGACACCGGUGCCGUGCAACAAGUGGAGGAAUUGUCAACAUAAAUGCCAGAAAGGUCAGAACCCUCUGUGAUGGAAUUACCGAAUGUUGCCCGAAAGCUAUUGUCAACCUGAUUACCAACCCUGUUAUAACCCCAGCUUCCGUUGCAGCCAAAGUUUUCAAGAGAGCUUGCCCUCAUGAUCCAAGAAACUGUUGGGUGUGACCAUGCUCAACUUAACUAAUUCGUGGAUAGCAGUUUUGAGACAAUGCCAUGAAAGCCAAUAACUUCUUUCCUAACCCCUUCUUUCCUUCCCGCCAAUACAUUGUAGGUGUUUGCUGAUAUAUCUCAUCAGAUUUCUGAUCUAUUAUGUUCCAUGAAGGCAGAAGUACUAGGUCUUGAUCCCAGAGAAAUUGAUGUUCCAGUUGUUCGAGGUCACGCAAGGGUGACAAUAUUACCUCUUUUAUCUCAGGCUAAAAGCUGGAGCUGGCUUGGCAACUCUCUCAAUGGCGAGUCCUUCUUCGGCCUUUUGAGUUGUGAUCCGAUCUCUUUCAUGAAUGGGAAAUUUGAUGGCUCUUUUAUAUGUGGACUCAUUUCACAUGGUCACAUAAUGUGAAAAUGAAAUAUGCAGGCAUAUGCUGCUAUGAAGUUCGCCGAUGCGUGCCUGCGUAGGUUGAGGGGCUACGCUGGCCUAAGCUGGCAUUGUUCAGUGUGCAUUUGUUGCUUCUCAGGUGACUGAUCUUCUGUUCUUUUCGUCCAAAGUGCGCCUCAAUCGUACUUGGGCGGAGGAGCUUCUUCUUCUUGGCCCACUGAAUGAGUACGAAAGGUCUGGAAUUUUAAUUAAUCUUGAGAUUUUUAGGUCUGCUCAGAUGACAACAAAGGAAGAUGGAAGUUCUUUUAAUUUCGGCCUUUGUUUGUUAACCUGUGGAGCUGGCUUGGAAAGGGCAAAGAAAGAGUUAGCGGCAACGAAAAUAGUUUCUGGUUAGUCGGUACUCAAUAUGGGUUCUUGGGAAUAAGUGGUCGGACCUAAGCAGAUAUCAAAAUUUAUUCUGCAUA